rnacentral:rRNA from 1 species
CACAUGCAAGUCGAACGGAAAGGCCCUGCUUGCAGGGUACUCGAGUGGCGAACGGGUGAGUAACACGUGGGUGAUCUGCCCUGCACUUCGGGAUAAGCCUGGGAAACUGGGUCUAAUACCGGAUAGGAGCCAUUUUUAGUGUGAUGGUUGGAAAGUUUUUUCGGUGUAGGAUGAGCUCGCGGCCUAUCAGCUUGUUGGUGGGGUAAUGGCCUACCAAGGCGGCGACGGGUAGCCGGCCUGAGAGGGUGGACGGCCACAUUGGGACUGAGAUACGGCCCAGACUCCUACGGGAGGCAGCAGUGGGGAAUAUUGCACAAUGGGCGCAAGCCUGAUGCAGCGACGCCGCGUGGGGGAUGACGGCCUUCGGGUUGUAAACUCCUUUCGCUAGGGACGAAGCUUUUUGUGACGGUACCUAGAUAAGAAGCACCGGCUAACUACGUGCCAGCAGCCGCGGUAAUACGUAGGGUGCGAGCGUUGUCCGGAAUUACUGGGCGUAAAGGGCUCGUAGGUGGUUUGUCGCGUCGUCUGUGAAAUUCCGGGGCUUAACUCCGGGCGUGCAGGCGAUACGGGCAUAACUUGAGUACUGUAGGGGUAACUGGAAUUCCUGGUGUAGCGGUGAAAUGCGCAGAUAUCAGGAGGAACACCGAUGGCGAAGGCAGGUUACUGGGCAGUUACUGACGCUGAGGAGCGAAAGCAUGGGUAGCGAACAGGAUUAGAUACCCUGGU